UACGAAGGGUGCAAGCGUUACUCGGAAUUACUGGGCGUAAAGCGUGCGUAGGUGGUUUGUUAAGUCUGUUGUGAAAGCCCCGGGCUCAACCUGGGAAUGGCAAUGGAUACUGGCAAGCUAGAGUGCGGUAGAGGGUAGUGGAAUUCCCGGUGUAGCGGUGAAAUGCGCAGAUAUCAGGAAGAACACCUAUGGCGAAGGCAGCUCUCUGGGACGGUACUGACGCUGAGACGCGAAGGCGUGGGGAGCGA
rnacentral:rRNA from 1 species